GGUUAAGCGACUAAGCGUACACGGUGGAUGCCCUGGCAGUCAGAGGCGAUGAAGGGCGUGCUAAUCUGCGAUAAGCGCCGGUAAGGUGAUAUGAACCGUUAUAACCGGCGAUACCCGAAUGGGGAAACCCAGUGUGACUCGUCACACUAUCAUUAACUGAAUCCAUAGGUUAAUGAGGCGAACCGGGGGAACUGAAACAUCUAAGUACCCCGAGGAAAAGAAAUCAACCGAGAUUCCCCCAGUAGCGGCGAGCGAACGGGGAGGAGCCCAGAGCCUGAAUCAGCAUGUGUGUUAGUGGAAGCGUCUGGAAAGGCGCGCGAUACAGGGUGACAGCCCCGUACACAAAAGCGCAUGUGCUGUGAGCUCGAUGAGUAGGGCGGGACACGUGGUAUCCUGUCUGAAUAUGGGGGGACCAUCCUCCAAGGCUAAAUACUCCUGACUGACCGAUAGUGAACCAGUACCGUGAGGGAAAGGCGAAAAGAACCCCGGCGAGGGGAGUGAAAAAGAACCUGAAACCGUGUACGUACAAGCAGUGGGAGCACAGGUUUACCUGUGUGACUGCGUACCUUUUGUAUAAUGGGUCAGCGACUUAUAUUCUGUAGCAAGGUUAACCGAAUAGGGGAGCCGCAGGGAAACCGAGUCUUAACCGGGCGUUAAGUUGCAGGGUAUAGACCCGAAACCCGGUGAUCUAGCCAUGGGCAGGUUGAAGGUUGGGUAACACUAACUGGAGGACCGAACCGACUAAUGUUGAAAAAUUAGCGGAUGACCUGUGGCUGGGGGUGAAAGGCCAAUCAAACCGGGAGAUAGCUGGUUCUCCCCGAAAGCUAUUUAGGUAGCGCCUCGUGAAUUCAUCUCCGGGGGUAGAGCACUGUUUCGGCUAGGGGGCCAUCCCGGCUUACCAACCCGAUGCAAACUGCGAAUACCGGAGAAUGUUAUCACGGGAGACACACGGCGGGUGCUAACGUCCGUCGUGAAGAGGGAAACAACCCAGACCGCCAGCUAAGGUCCCAAAGUCAUGGUUAAGUGGGAAACGAUGUGGGAAGGCCCAGACAGCCAGGAUGUUGGCUUAGAAGCAGCCAUCAUUUAAAGAAAGCGUAAUAGCUCACUGGUCGAGUCGGCCUGCGCGGAAGAUGUAACGGGGCUAAACCAUGCACCGAAGCUGCGGCAGCGACACUGUGUGUUGUUGGGUAGGGGAGCGUUCUGUAAGCCUGUGAAGGUGGCCUGUGAGGGUUGCUGGAGGUAUCAGAAGUGCGAAUGCUGACAUAAGUAACGAUAAAGCGGGUGAAAAGCCCGCUCGCCGGAAGACCAAGGGUUCCUGUCCAACGUUAAUCGGGGCAGGGUGAGUCGACCCCUAAGGCGAGGCCGAAAGGCGUAGUCGAUGGGAAACGGGUUAAUAUUCCCGUACUUGGUGUUACUGCGAAGGGGGGACGGAGAAGGCUAUGUUGGCCGGGCGACGGUUGUCCCGGUUUAAGCGUGUAGGUGUGUGUUCCAGGUAAAUCCGGUUCACUUUAACACUGAGGCGUGACGACGAGGCACUACGGUGCUGAAGCAACAAAUGCCCUGCUUCCAGGAAAAGCCUCUAAGCAUCAGGUAACAUCAAAUCGUACCCCAAACCGACACAGGUGGUCAGGUAGAGAAUACCAAGGCGCUUGAGAGAACUCGGGUGAAGGAACUAGGCAAAAUGGUGCCGUAACUUCGGGAGAAGGCACGCUGACAUGUAGGUGAAGUGAUUUACUCAUGGAGCUGAAGUCAGUCGAAGAUACCAGCUGGCUGCAACUGUUUAUUAAAAACACAGCACUGUGCAAACACGAAAGUGGACGUAUACGGUGUGACGCCUGCCCGGUGCCGGAAGGUUAAUUGAUGGGGUCAGCGCAAGCGAAGCUCCUGAUCGAAGCCCCGGUAAACGGCGGCCGUAACUAUAACGGUCCUAAGGUAGCGAAAUUCCUUGUCGGGUAAGUUCCGACCUGCACGAAUGGCGUAAUGAUGGCCAGGCUGUCUCCACCCGAGACUCAGUGAAAUUGAACUCGCUGUGAAGAUGCAGUGUACCCGCGGCAAGACGGAAAGACCCCGUGAACCUUUACUAUAGCUUGACACUGAACAUUGAGCCUUGAUGUGUAGGAUAGGUGGGAGGCUUUGAAGUGUGGACGCCAGUCUGCAUGGAGCCGACCUUGAAAUACCACCCUUUAAUGUUUGAUGUUCUAACGUGGACCCGUUACCCGGGUUGCGGACAGUGUCUGGUGGGUAGUUUGACUGGGGCGGUCUCCUCCUAAAGAGUAACGGAGGAGCACGAAGGUUGGCUAAUCCUGGUCGGACAUCAGGAGGUUAGUGCAAUGGCAUAAGCCAGCUUGACUGCGAGCGUGACGGCGCGAGCAGGUGCGAAAGCAGGUCAUAGUGAUCCGGUGGUUCUGAAUGGAAGGGCCAUCGCUCAACGGAUAAAAGGUACUCCGGGGAUAACAGGCUGAUACCGCCCAAGAGUUCAUAUCGACGGCGGUGUUUGGCACCUCGAUGUCGGCUCAUCACAUCCUGGGGCUGAAGUAGGUCCCAAGGGUAUGGCUGUUCGCCAUUUAAAGUGGUACGCGAGCUGGGUUUAGAACGUCGUGAGACAGUUCGGUCCCUAUCUGCCGUGGGCGCUGGAGAACUGAGGGGGGCUGCUCCUAGUACGAGAGGACCGGAGUGGACGCAUCACUGGUGUUCGGGUUGUCAUGCCAAUGGCACUGCCCGGUAGCUAAAUGCGGAAGAGAUAAGUGCUGAAAGCAUCUAAGCACGAAACUUGCCCCGAGAUGAGUUCUCCCUGAGACUUAGAGUCUCCUGAAGGAACGUUGAAGACGACGACGUUGAUAGGCCGGGUGUGUAAGCGCAGCGAUGCGUUGAGCUAACCGGUACUAAUGAACCGUGAGGCUUAACCUU
rnacentral:rRNA from 1 species